rnacentral:rRNA from 1 species
GACGAACGCUGGCGGCGUGCUUAACACAUGCAAGUCGAACGGAAAGGCCUGCUUUCCCUUGUGGAUUGCGGGUACUCGAGUGGCGAACGGGUGAGUAACACGUGAGUGAUCUGCCCCCAACUUGGGUAUAAGCCUGGGAAACUGGGUCUAAUUCCCGAUAGGACUGCAGGGUGGUGCCUGUGGUGGAAAACGAUUUUCUAGUGGUUGGGGAUGAGCUCGCGGCCUAUCAGCUUGUUGGUGGGGUAAUGGCCUACCAAGGCGGCGACGGGUAGCCGGCCUGAGAGGGUGGACGGCCACAUUGGGACUGAGAUACGGCCCAGACUCCUACGGGAGGCAGCAGUGGGGAAUAGUGCACAAUGGGCGGAAGCCUGAUGCAGCGACGCCGCGUGGGGGAUGACGGCCUUCGGGUUGUAAACUCCUUUCGGCCGCGAGGAAGCCACCUGGUUGGAAGGGUGGUGACGGUAGUGGUAGAAGAAGCACCGGCUAACUACGUG